UCUAUUAUGGCAGAUUAGUGCAAUGGAUUUAAACCCCAUACAUAAAUUUAAAUUUUUUUAGAA
rnacentral:tRNA from 1 species